UACGGAGGGUGCAAGCGUUAUCCGGAUUCACUGGGUUUAAAGGGUGCGUAGGAGGGCAGGUAAGUCAGAGGUGAAAUCUCCGAGCUUAACUCGGAAACUGCCUUUGAUACUAUCUGUCUUGAAUAUUGUGGAGGUGAGCGGAAUAUGUCAUGUAGCGGUGAAAUGCUUAGAUAUGACAUAGAACACCAAUUGCGAAGGCAGCUCGCUACACAUAUAUUGACUCUGAGGCACGAAAGCGUGGGGAGCAAACGGG
rnacentral:rRNA from 1 species